GACGAACGGUGGCGGCGUGCCUAAUACAUGCAAGUUGAGCGCUGAAGGUUGGUACUUGUACCAACUGGAUGAGCAGCGAACGGGUGAGUAACGCGUGGGGAAUCUGCCUUUGAGCGGGGGACAACAUUUGGAAACGAAUGCUAAUACCGCAUAAAAACUUUAAACACAAGUUUUAAGUUUGAAAGAUGCAAUUGCAUCACUCAAAGAUGAUCCCGCGUUGUAUUAGCUAGUUGGUGAGGUAAAGGCUCACCAAGGCGAUGAUACAUAGCCGACCUGAGAGGGUGAUCGGCCACAUUGGGACUGAGACACGGCCCAAACUCCUACGGGAGGCAGCAGUAGGGAAUCUUCGGCAAUGGACGAAAGUCUGACCGAGCAACGCCGCGUGAGUGAAGAAGGUUUUCGGAUCGUAAAACUCUGUUGGUAGAGAAGAACGUUGGUGAGAGUGGAAAGCUCAUCAAGUGACGGUAACUACCCAGAAAGGGACGGCUAACUACGUG
rnacentral:rRNA from 1 species